UGCUACAGGCUUAACACAUGCAAGUCGAGGGGCAUCAGGAAGAAAGCUUGCUUUCUUUGCUGGCGACCGGCGCACGGGUGAGUAACACGUAUCCAACCUGCCCUUUACUCGGGGAUAGCCUUUCGAAAGAAAGAUUAAUACCCGAUAGCAUAAUGAUUCCGCAUGGUUUCAUUAUUAAAGGAUUCCGGUAAAGGAUGGGGAUGCGUUCCAUUAGGUUGUUGGUGAGGUAACGGCCCACCAAGCCUUCGAUGGAUAGGGGUUCUGAGAGGAAGGUCCCCCACAUUGGAACUGAGACACGGUCCAAACUCCUACGGGAGGCAGCAGUGAGGAAUAUUGGUCAAUGGGCGCUAGCCUGAACCAGCCAAGUAGCGUGAAGGAUGAAGGCUCUAUGGGUCGUAAACUUCUUUUAUAUAAGAAUAAAGUGCAGUAUGUAUACUGUUUUGUAUGUAUUAUAUGAAUAAGGAUCGGCUAACUCCGUGCCAGCAGCCGCGGUAAUACGGAGGAUCCGAGCGUUAUCCGGAUUUAUUGGGUUUAAAGGGAGCGUAGGUGGACUGGUAAGUCAGUUGUGAAAGUUUGCGGCUCAACCGUAAAAUUGCAGUUGAUACUGUCAGUCUUGAGUACAGUAGAGGUGUGCGGAAUUCGUGGUGUAGCGGUGAAAUGCUUAGAUAUCACGAAGAACUCCGAUUGCGAAGGCAGCUCACUGGACUGCAACUGACACUGAUGCUCGAAAGUGUGGGUAUCAAACAGGAUUAGAUACCCUGGUAGUCCACACAGUAAACGAUGAAUACUCGCUGUUUGCGAUAUACAGUAAGCGGCCAAGCGAAAGCAUUAAGUAUUCCACCUGGGGAGUACGCCGGCAACGGUGAAACUCAAAGGAAUUGACGGGGGCCCGCACAAGCGGAGGAACAUGUGGUUUAAUUCGAUGAUACGCGAGGAACCUUACCCGGGCUUAAAUUGCAGUGGAAUGAUGUGGAAACAUGUCAGUGAGCAAUCACCGCUGUGAAGGUGCUGCAUGGUUGUCGUCAGCUCGUGCCGUGAGGUGUCGGCUUAAGUGCCAUAACGAGCGCAACCCUUAUCUUUAGUUACUAACAGGUUAUGCUGAGGACUCUAGAGAGACUGCCGUCGUAAGAUGUGAGGAAGGUGGGGAUGACGUCAAAUCAGCACGGCCCUUACGUCCGGGGCUACACACGUGUUACAAUGGGGGGUACAGAAGGCAGCUAGCGGGUGACCGUAUGCUAAUCCCAAAAUCCUCUCUCAGUUCGGAUCGAAGUCUGCAACCCGACUUCGUGAAGCUGGAUUCGCUAGUAAUCGCGCAUCAGCCACGGCGCGGUGAAUACGUUCCCGGGCCUUGUACACACCGCCCGUCAAGCCAUGGGAGCCGGGGGUACCUGAAGUACGUAACCGCAAGGAUCGUCCUAGGGUAAAACUGGUGACUGGGGCUAAGU
rnacentral:rRNA from 1 species